ACAUGCAAAUAAACUAUUAUUAUUGUUGUUUUAUUGUUAUUAUAUUUUCAUCACAGUGUCUUAAAUAUAACAUGUUAAAUAUAAAUUUUAAGAAUACCAUUAAUAAUAAAAUACAUCAAGACUUUUAUCGGUUUAAUUCAUACAAGUCAGUUUGGAAUGUUUGAUCCUGACUAAAAAAGUAGCGAGGUAAUCUCGCGAGAUUACAGCCUCCCCAUAUAGAGAUUACACGAGACUGGAGAGUUUAACGGCUGUCUGCGUGAUCAUCGAGAAAGUGCAUUGAGAGCCCUUCAAAUUAAAAAUAGUGAUGGUGAUCUUGUCAAUGCUGAGAUUUUAAUGCAUCAACAGCCAUUACAUCUGGCUGGAUCAGGAUUGAACAAGAAUCAGACAGCAAGGGUUGUCACAUCAGAAACGUAAUAACACAAACAUAAGAAACUUCACAGGGCUGUGACAGUGACAGUAUUUUACCACCGCGAAUGCACCAAUUCACCACUGUGGUGCGGUGGUUAUAGAAUGUGUUUGUGUGAGGGGGGAGGCGGCAAUUUCUUUUUCCGCCGGUGGGUGCUCAUCACAACCUCAAGCUUUACUUCGCAAUGCCAGGUGCUCUAGAGUCUGGAGCGCUCAAAGGCUUUGAAGAGGUGGAAAGUGGCGCAGUCACGUUUUCGUGUGAAUUGUGAAGUUAAAGGCAGAUCACCGUGCAACUUGAAGUCAUGUGUCUUUCCAGAUGGCCAAAUCUGUACCCCUCAAAAAAACUUUAUUAAAUGCCAUGAUAGACAAGAUGAGCCUUAAGAGGAGAUUUGGGAAGAUGCUGUUUCAUAAGUCUUUGCUUUGCCAGAUUAUUUGUGGUUGGGGUGUCUGCCAACGUGAUGCCUUGCUGGUCUGGUUUGAGUUUGAAGUCUCUCACAGACAGUCCAGAAGGUCUGGAGUCCAUCUUAGCUUUCAUUGAUGCUGUCAUCAUUUUUUAAGUGCAUGAGCCAGAAUGGACGGGUGGUGGUGGCCAUAAGAAGACUGUCAACUAAACUAGGGUGACCAUACGUGCCAUUCUUCCCGGACCCGUCCUGUCCAGUCUUUUGGAACUCGUAUUUGUCGACCGCAUACGUCACAGAGGAUUAUUAUUAUUAUUACAGAAAAGCAACCGUUACAUUUUAAGGUAAGAAGAAUGAAACUACGAUUGUAUAUCUUAUG